rnacentral:rRNA from 1 species
GCAAGUCGAACGGUAACAUAGAGAAGCUUGCUUUUCUGAUGACGACCGGCGCACGGGUGCGUAACGCGUAUAGAACCUACCUUUUACUGGGAGAUAGCCUUUAGAAAUGAAGAUUAAUAUCCCAUAGUAUUGAUUAAUGGCAUCAUUAAUUAAUUAAAGAUUUAUUGGUAAAAGAUGGCUAUGCGUCCUAUUAGUUAGAUGGUAAGGUAACGGCUUACCAUGACUGUGAUAGGUAGGGGUCCUGAGAGGGAGAUC